CCUACGGUGUGCAGCAGUGGGGAAUAUUGCACAAUGGGGGAAACCCUGAUGCAGCGACGCCGAGUGACGGAAGAAGUAUUUCGGUAUGUAAACUUCUAUCAGCAGGGAAGAAAAUGACGGUACCUGACUAAGAAGCCCCGGCUAACUACGUGCACGCAGCCGCGGUAAUACGGAGGGGGAAAGCGUUAUCCGGAUUUACUGGGUGUAAAGGGAACGUAGGCGGCGAUGCAAGUCAGAAGUGAAAGCCCGGGGCUCAACUCGGGGACUGCUUUUGAAACUGUGUUGCUAGAUUGCAGGAGAGGUAGGUAGAAUUCCUAGUGUAGCAGUGAAAUGCGUAGAGAGUAGGAGGAACACCAGUGGCGAAGGCGGCUUACUGGACUGUAAAUGACGCUGAGGCUCGAAAGCGUGGGGAGCAAACAGGAUUAGAGACCCUUGUAGUC
rnacentral:rRNA from 1 species